ensembl:scaRNA
GUGUGCGUGUGUGUGUGUGUGUGUGUGUUGUGUUGUGUGUGUGUGUGUGUGUGUGUGCGUGUGUGCGUGUGUGUGUGUGUGUGUGCGCGUGUGCGUGUGCGUGUGUGUGUGUGCGUGUGUGUGUGUGUGUGUGUGUGUGCCCAUCCAACACCCCCUACCCCUACAGCAUCACCACUACCCCCAAAUCAAAUCAAGUCAAAUACAAUCAAACUAAACUUCCCAACACUGAAA